CUGAAGGGCUAUAUCGAGGGGUCAAUUGAAGGGGGAAUGUCCUGAAGAGUUCUCUCUUACUAACACUCGAUUUAGUAAGAAUGAUAGUGUUAUAAGCUAGGAGAAAUGAAGUGAGAAUUUACCGUACUAGUUCGACUGACGGAAACCUCCCCGAGCGGGUUGGUGUAAAUCAUGGUGCUUUGAGUUGAA
rfam:Bacillus sp. FJAT-27997 Scaffold1, whole genome shotgun sequence.